GGCAAUCUGCCCUUCACUCUGGGACAAGCCCUGGAAACGGGGUCUAAUACCGGAUAACACUGCGGAUCGCAUGGUCUGCGGUUAAAAGCUCCGGCGGUGAAGGAUGAGCCCGCGGCCUAUCAGCUUGUUGGUGGGGUGAUGGCCUACCAAGGCGACGACGGGUAGCCGGCCUGAGAGGGCGACCGGCCACACUGGGACUGAGACACGGCCCAGACUCCUACGGGAGGCAGCAGUGGGGAAUAUUGCACAAUGGGCGAAAGCCUGAUGCAGCGACCCCGCGUGAGGGAUGACGGCCUUCGGGUUGUAAACCUCUUUCAGCAGGGAAAACCAAAGUGACGGUACCUGCAAAA
rnacentral:rRNA from 1 species